GGGCGAAUAGCUUAGUUGGUUAAAGCGCCGAUUUUACAUGUCGGAGAUCGUUGAUUCGAAUUCAACUUCGCCCACCA
rnacentral:tRNA from 1 species